rnacentral:tRNA from 1 species
GUCUUCGUAGCUCAGUGGUAGAGCAUGCGAUUGCAGAUCGUGCGGUCCGGCGUUCAAUCCGCCGCGGGGACU